rnacentral:rRNA from 1 species
CCUACGGGAGGCAGCAGUGGGGAAUAUUGCACAAUGGGGGGAACCCUGAUGCAGCGACGCCGCGUGAAGGAAGAAGUAUUUCGGUAUGUAAACUUCUAUCAGCAGGGAAGAAAAAGGACGGUACCUGACUAAGAAGCCCCGGCUAACUACGUGCCAGCAGCCGCGGUAAUACGUAGGGGGCAAGCGUUAUCCGGAUUCACUGGGCGUAAAGGGAGCGCAGGCGGCAUGGCAAGUCUGAUGUGAAAACCCGGGGCCCAACCCCGGGAGUGCAUUGGAAACUGCCAGGCUGGAGUGGCGGAGGGGGG